rnacentral:rRNA from 1 species
AUUGAACGCUGGCGGCAUGCCUUACACAUGCAAGUCGAACGGCAGCACGGGAGCAAUCCUGGUGGCGAGUGGCGAACGGGUGAGUAAUAUAUCGGAACGUGCCCAGUCGUGGGGGAUAACGCAGCGAAAGCUGUGCUAAUACCGCAUACGAUCUAUGGAUGAAAGCGGGGGAUCGCAAGACCUCGCGCGAUUGGAGCGGCCGAUAUCAGAUUAGCUAGUUGGUGAGGUAAAGGCUCACCAAGGCGACGAUCUGUAGCUGGUCUGAGAGGACGACAGCCACACUGGAACUGAGACACGGUCCAGACUCCUACGGGAGGCAGCAGUGGGGAAUUUUGGACAAUGGGCGAAAGCCUGAUCCAGCAAUGCCGCGUGCAGGAAGAAGGCCUUCGGGUUGUAAACUGCUUUUGUACGGAACGAAACGGCGAGCUCUAAUACAGUUUGCUAAUGACGGUACCGUAAGAAUAAGCACCGGCUAACUACGUGCCAGCCGCCGCAGUAAUAC